rnacentral:rRNA from 1 species
UACGAAGGGGGCUAGCGUUGUUCGGAUUUACUGGGCGUAAAGCGCACGUAGGCGGAUCGUUAAGUCGGGGGUGAAAUCCUGGAGCUCAACUCCAGAACUGCCUUCGAUACUGGCGAUCUUGAGUCCGGAAGAGGUGAGUGGAACUCCUAGUGUAGAGGUGGAAUUCGUAGAUAUUAGGAAGAACACCAGUGGCGAAGGCAGCUCACUGGUCCGGUACUGACGCUGAGGUGCGAAAGCGUGGGGAGCAAACAGG